GACGAACGCUGGCGGCGUGCCUAAUACAUGCAAGUAGAACGCACAGUUUAUACCGUAGCUUGCUACACCAUAGACUGUGAGUUGCGAACGGGUGAGUAACGCGUAGGUAACCUGCCUGGUAGCGGGGGGUAACUAUUGGAACCGAUAGCUAAUACCGCAUAAUAUUAAUUAUUCCAUGAUAAUUAAUUGAAAGGUGCAAUUGCACCACUACCAGCUGGACCUGCGUUGUAUUAGCUAGUAGGUGAGGUAACGGCCCACCCAAGGGACGAUACAUAGCCGAGCCUGAGGGGUUGUUCGCCACAACUGGACUUGGACACCGCUCCAACUUCUUCGGGGGGCAGCCGUAGGGGAAUAUCGGCCAUGGGCGGAAAGCCGGACGAACAAAGCCGCGUGGGUGGAGAAGGUCUUUCGAUCUGUAAGCUCUGUUGUAAGGGAAGAAAGGGCAGGAGGGUGAAAAGUUCAUGUUGUGACGGUAUCUAACCAGAAAGGAACGGCUAACUACGUG
rnacentral:rRNA from 1 species